ACCACGUCAUGACAGUUACAGCUGGUUACUCACAGCCGUGACGACACGAGACCUCCAGCUGCCGCUCUGCUCUUCUUCUACGGAACUUCCGGUGUAGUGCCAAAACAAGUGAUUACAGCUCCUACCUUGUGACUGAAAGUAGGGGUCAGUCACAGGGCAUAGAUGAACUGAUACGGAUCAGACUUACAGACAGCUGAAACAUCAGAAGAAAUUCUAAUAAAGCCUCUGAUUUCUUUGCACAUGUAAACAUUAAAAACAAGUUAUCAAAUGA